AUAAUACCCUAUAGGUUACAGAUGCUGGAAUGCUCUGUAAUCAAAAGUUCCGGCGCCCUAGGAUGGAUCUGCGGCCGAUUAGGUUGUUGUUGGGGUAAUGGCCCAACAAGCCAGUAAUCGGUACGGGUUGUGGGAGCAAGAGCCCGGAGUUGGAUUCUGAGACACGAAUCCAGGCCCUACGGGGCGCAGCAGGCGCGAAAACUUUACAAUGCGGGCAACCGUGAUAAGGGAACCUCGAGUGCCUGUAAAUGCAGGCUGUUCAGAUGCCUAAAACACAUCUGGAGAAAGGGCCGGGCAAGACCGGUGCCAGCCGCCGCGGUAAUACCGGCGGCUCGAGUGGUGGCCACUUUUAUUGGGCUUAAAGCGUUCGUAGCUGGGUUGUUAAGUCUCUUGGGAAAUCUGGCGGCUUAACCGUCAGGCGUCUAAGGGAUACUGGCAAUCUUGGAACCGGGAGAGGUGAGGGGUACUUCGGGGGUAGGAGUGAAAUCCUGUAAUCCUCGAGGGACCACCUGUGGCGAAGGCGCCUCACCAGAACGGCUUCGACAGUGAGGGACGAAAGCUGGGGGAGCAAACCGGAUUAGAUACCCGGGUAGUCCCAGCCGUAAACUAUGCGCGUUAGGUGU
rnacentral:rRNA from 1 species